AGAGUUUGAUCAUGGCUCAGGAUAACGCUAGCGAUAGGCCUAACACAUGCAAGUCGAGGGGCCACGCAAGUGGCGACCGGCGCACGGGUGAGUAACGCGUAUGCAACCUACCUACAACAGGGGGAUAACCCGUUGAAAGACGGACUAAUACCCCAUAACAGGGGUCCCGCAUGGGGAUUUGUUAAAGAUUAAUCGGUUGUAGAUGGGCAUGCGUUCCAUUAGCUGGUUGGUGAGGUAACGGCUCACCAAGGCAACGAUGGAUAGGGGAACUGAGAGGUUUAUCCCCCACACUGGUACUGAGACACGGACCAGACUCCUACGGGAGGCAGCAGUGAGGAAUAUUGGUCAAUGGACGCAAGUCUGAACCAGCCACGUCGCGUGAAGGCGGUACGUUGACUUCUUUUGUAAGGGCGUGACCUUACGAAUAAGGAUCGGCAACUCCGUGCCAGCAGCCGCGGUAAUACGGAGGAUCCGAGCGUUAUCCGGAUUUAUUGGGUUUAAAGGGUGCGCAGGCGGGAGAUUAAGUCGGCGGUGAAAUUUUGCAGCUCAACUGUAAAAGUGCCAUCGAUACUGGUUUUCUUGAGUGUGGAUGAAGUAGGCGGAAUUUGUGGUGUAGCGGUGAAAUGCAUAGAUAUCACAAGGAACACCGAUUGCGCAGGCAGCUUACUAAACCUAACUGACGCUCAGGCACGAAGGCGUGGGGAGCAAACAGGAUUAGAUACCCUGGUAGUCCACGCAGUAAACGAUGAUUACUAGCUGUUUGCGAUACAGUAAGCGGCUGAGCGAAAGCGUUAAGUAAUCCACCUGGGGAGUACGUUCGCAAGAAUGAAACUCAAAGGAAUUGACGGGGGCCCGCACAAGCGGAGGAACAUGUGGUUUAAUUCGAUGAUACGCGAGGAACCUUACCCGGGCAAAUGAUCUGACCGGCCUUGAAAGAGGUUUUUUCGCAGAUUGAGGUGCUGCAUGGUUGUCGUCAGCUCGUGCCGUGAGGUGUCGGCUUAAGUGCCAUAACGAGCGCAACCCUCAUCAUUAGUUACCAUCAGGUAAGGCUGGGGACUCUAAUGAGACUGCCAUCGUAAGAUGAGGAAGGUGGGGAUGACGUCAAAUCAGCACGGCCCUUACGUCCGGGGCGACACACGUGUUACAAUGGGUGGUACAAAGGGCAGCUACCUGGCGACAGGAUGCUAUCUCCAAAACCACUCUCAGUUCGGAUCGGAGUCUGCAACUCGACUCCGUGAAGCUGGAUUCGCUAGUAAUCGCGCAUCAGCCACGGCGCGGUGAAUACGUUCCCGGGCCUUGCACACACCCCCGUC
rnacentral:rRNA from 1 species